CAGCUGAGAGCACCUCUUGCACUGAAGACAGGGUGAAAGUGGUAUGUGAAGAUCUGCAGGCUCAAAGAUAUCUCAGUCGUUGCCCAUGUCAGCUGGUACCAACAGAGUGACGACCUAGUGACUGUGUAUGCCAUGGUGGUGAGCAGCUGGGGAUCCCAAGCAAAUCUGAAUCCUGGAUGGCUCCAGCAAUCUCUAAAAUAGCACAUCUAAAGCCACAUCAGGUGAGAUCCUGAAUGAUGGACACAGUGGAGAUCUUUACAAAUAGCAGGGAGAGGGUUUGUGUGAACACUUUGGACAACUGUUAUGUAAAAAUCUUACACCCCCUUAUCUCAUGGAAGAAAAGUGGGUGCUGAAUAUGACCCUGAAUCAGUGGGAUCCUUGGUGCAUUUAUAGUAAGUGUAAUCACAGGACUGAGCUCAGUCAGAAAGAGUGGCAGUAAUGGUUACGUGACUUGCAAUCAGAGGAGCAAUUGCUCCUCUUUCAUUUACGGAUUGCCCUACCUAAUGCAAUAAAUGUUAUUCAACUUACGGACAGAAAGAAGGAAAUUGGUAAAUUGUUUUUAAAGGAGCAGAGCUCUGACACAUGCAUUUCACUUGCAGCAAAACGUUUGCUUGGAAAAUAAACCUUAUAGUUCAGUGGCAUUCAAACAAACUGUUAUUUCCUUUUGUUUAUUGAUUAAAAGAGAGGUUACAGGUAAGGGGAUUUUAGUUGACUAGACAAGAGUUGUGAUUGAUUUGUUCAGAGAAGUCAUAUUUUCAAAUAUUUUCUUUAAACAAUGCAUGGAAAAAAGAAACUUAGAACUGUGUGAUCUUUGUUUCCAGAGAGCAUUGUUUCUCAAAAAUUCAUUGGCACUCCAAACUAAAUCCCUACCAAAGGUGAGACCUCUACAAUAUUUGUUUCUCAUGAGAGUUCUCAUAAAUCUUGAGGGAUUU